rnacentral:rRNA from 1 species
GGCGCGCAAAUUACCCAAUCCCGACUCGGGGAGGUAGUGACAAUAAAUACUGAUACAGGGCUCUUUUGGGUCUUGUAAUUGGAAUGAGUACAAUUUAAAUCCCUUAACGAGGUACAAUUGGAGGGCAAGUCUGGUGCCAGCAGCCGCGGUAAUUCCAGCUCCAAUAGCGUAUAUUAAAGUUGUUGUGGUUAAAAAGCUCGUAGUUGAACCUUGGGCCUGGCUGGCCGGUCCGCCUCACCGCGUGUACUGGUCCGGCCGGGCCUUUCCCUCUGUGGAACCCCAUGCCCUUCACUGGGUGUGGCGGGGAAACAGGACUUUUACUUUGAAAAAAUUAGAGUGCUCCAGGCAGGCCUAUGCUCGAAUACAUUAGCAUGGAAUAAUAAAAUAGGACGUGUGGUUCUAUUUUGUUGGUUUCUAGGACCGCCGUAAUGAUUAAUAGGGACAGUCGGGGGCAUCAGUAUUCAAUUGUCAGAGGUGAAAUUCUUGGAUUUAUUGAAGACUAACUACUGCGAAAGCAUUUGCCAAGGAUGUUUUCAUUAAUCAGGAACGAAGUUAGGGGAUCGAAGACGAUCAGAUACCGUCGUAGUCUUAACCAUAAACUAUGCCGACUAGGGAUCGGACGAUGUUAUUAUUUGACUCGUUCGGCACCUUACGAGAAAUCAAAGUGCUUGGGCUCCAGGGG